rnacentral:lncRNA from 1 species
CAACACUUUGCAAUGAAAGGCUUCAAUGCCUUGUUGUCUUUCCAGAAAUCAAAUUUCUGUCAAAAAUUAACAAAACAUUUCACAAAGCUACAAGUUUCAAAAGUUUCCACACUAUCUGAUUGAUCACAUAUGUUUCCACACUAUCAAUCUCAACAGAAUCAACUAUUUCCAACAUCCAUACACCAGCCCAUAUUCAACCUACAACCAAAACGAAGCCAAAAAAUUUGAGCACCUGAAACACAGAAAGAUUCAAAAUUCAAAAACCGAGAACCCAUCGCAUAGAAUCCUCAAACAUUAUCUUGGCAAGCCUCUGAGGUUGUGUUAUCUGCGAACCAAGCAAUCAACCCCUCACAGGUAGAGGGCGCACUAACGUUUUGGUGGUGGCUGUGGCAAUGGGGUUUUAGGGGUAGAGGGGGAUCUGGUUGAGGUGGUAGAGGUGGCCGGCGAUGACUGGCAGCGACCUUGGGCCAUGACUGGUGGCGAUCCAUGAAGAGGAUAAUCUCUCGUGUGACGGUGAAGGUCGCGGUCGCUGGCGAGGGUGAGACGAGGAGACUGCGACGGCGACGCAGUGGCUGUCGGAGAGGAGCGGCGGCGCAUUGGAGGCAAAGCUUCAGCCCUAGGCUAGCGCGAGAGGAAGAGAGGGAAAGCGAUGACGUCGCAGCCGACGGUGGCUCUGUUAGGGCGCGUCGUCGCCGGUGACGCCAGGUGGAGAGAAAGCGGUGGUGUGUGGUCGUCGAAUGAAGGCGGUGCGGUGCGAGCUCCGACCCCGAGUUGGGUGAGAGAGAGACGCGAGACCUGAAGUCUCUGGUGUUUGAGUCUGAGAGUGAAGAAUGAGGGGAGGAGUUUCGACCCCUUAGAGCUUCUAGGUCAGGAGAGUGUGGGUUUGGAUGCUUGGCCCAACCGAAUAAUAACAAAAAAACAGCACUUUCCUCUCGCACCCUCGUUCCUCAUCUUUGCAGCCCCUUUAUUUUCUGCUUGGGCCAGGUUCAUGGGCUAGUCUCAUCCUCACACCCCAUUUUCCUAUCCGCACACCCCAUCUUUCAUUCUGCACCCCGGUUUCUGAUAAGCUACACCCCUCUGCACUUGGGCUUUGGCCCAGUCUAGUUGUAAGAGCCAAAUUAGGUUUACACCCCCUUGUUUUUCAUUUUACACCCCUGGCCACUUGGGUUUAGGCCCAAUCUUUAUAUUAUUUUAUCANUUAACUUUUAGUUUAUUAUAUUUCUACUUUCUAUUUCAUUUUUCUACUUUU